AUUCUAUGGUUAGGAUAAUUCUUGAACAAUCCCUUGAAUCUUUCCCAUGCAGCACUAAAGGUCUCAAAUUCUCCUUGUUCAAAGUUCAUAAUCUCGCUACGCUU